rnacentral:rRNA from 1 species
ACUCCUACGGGAGGCAGCAGUGGGAAUAUUGCACAAUGGGCGCAAGCCUGAUGCAGCCAUGCCGCGUGUAUGAAGAAGGCCUUCGGGUUGUUAAAGAUACUUUCAGCGUGAGGAAGUAGUGUAGUUAAUAGCUGCAUUAUUUGACGUUAGCUGCAGAAGAAGCACCGGCUAACUCCGUGCCAGCAGCCGCGGUAAUACGGAGGGUGCGAGCGUUAAUCGGAAUUACUGGGCGUAAAGCGCAUGCAGGUGGUUUGUUAAGUCAGAUGUGAAAGCCCGGG